rnacentral:rRNA from 1 species
AGUGAACGCUGGCGGUAGGCCUAACACAUGCAAGUCGAACGGCAGCACAGUAAGAGCUUGCUCUUACGGGUGGCGAGUGGCGGACGGGUGAGGAAUACAUCGGAAUCUACUUUUUCGUGGGGGAUAACGUAGGGAAACUUACGCUAAUACCGCAUACGACCUACGGGUGAAAGCAGGGGAUCUUCGGACCUUGCGCGAUUGAAUGAGCCGAUGUCGGAUUAGCUAGUUGGCGGGGUAAAGGCCCACCAAGGCGACGAUCCGUAGCUGGUCUGAGAGGAUGAUCAGCCACACUGGAACUGAGACACGGUCCAGACUCCUACGGGAGGCAGCAGUGGGGAAUAUUGGACAAUGGGCGCAAGCCUGAUCCAGCCAUACCGCGUGGGUGAAGAAGGCCUUCGGGUUGUAAAGCCCUUUUCUUGGGAAAGAAAGGCAGCAGGUUAAUACCCCGCUGUUCUGACGGUACCCAAAGAAUAAGCACCGGCUAACUUCGUG